rnacentral:rRNA from 1 species
UACAGAGGUCUCAAGCGUUGUUCGGAUUCAUUGGGCGUAAAGGGUGCGUAGGCGGCGCGGUAAGUCGGGCGUGAAAUCUCGGAGCUUAACUCCGAAACUGCAUUCGAUACUGCCGUGCUUGAGGACUGGAGAGGAGACUGGAAUUUACGGUGUAGCGGUGAAAUGCGUAGAUAUCGUAAGGAAGACCAGUGGCGAAGGCGGGUCUCUGGACAGUUCCUGACGCUGAGGCACGAAGGCCAGGGGAGCGAACAGG